CGUUAGAUCCCAUGCUCUGCCGAAUAUCCCUUAAAAACAUUCCUUAAAAAUAAAAAUAUUGUUCCUCCUUUGUCUUCUUUAAAAAACAAACCACGCCACCAUACAAACAAAAUUACAGCUCCGUAACUAAAACAGAGUAAAUGAGCGAAGCACUCAACAGCGACUACCAAAUCUGCGAGGAGAUCGGCCGUGGGCGAUUUGGUAUUGUUUUCAGGUGCAUCUCUCGCUCCACUGGCGAUUCUUUCGCUGUCAAAUCCAUCGUCAAGAGCCUCGUCUCUGGCGACUCCCUAGAAGCGCAAUGCCUCUUAACAGAGCCCAAGACACUCCACCUCCUUUCUCCUCACCCCCACAUAAUCCAACUCCACAACCUCUACGAAGACGAAACUCACCUUCACAUGGUCAUCGAUUUAUGCUCUAAACAAGACCUUCACGAUUUGAUAAUCACUAACGGGGUUCUUUCAGAGAACGAAGCUAGAGUGGUUUUCACUCAACUGAUGAAAGCUAUCUCUCACUGUCAUACAUACGGCAUCGUUCAUCGAGACAUCAAACCUGAAAACAUUUUAUUUGACGAGGGGAAUGCAAUUAAGGUAGCGGAUUUUGGAUCUUCUGAGGUUGUAAUGAAAGGGGAGAUGGUGAAUGGUGUAGUGGGGACACCGUAUUAUGUGCCCCCUGAGGUUUUGUUGGGAAAACAGUACGGAGAGAAGGUGGAUGUGUGGAGUGCUGGGGUGGUGUUGUACAUAAUGUUAACUGGAUUUCCGCCGUUUUAUGGGGAAACAGUGGUGGAGAUAUUUGAGGCGGUUUUGAGAGGGAAUUUGAGGUUUUCUGCAAGAGUUUUUCAGUCGGCGUCGACAAGUGUUAAAGAUCUUUUACGGAGGAUGCUCUGUAAAGAUGUCUCCAGGCGAUUUUCUGCUGAACAAGUGCUAAGACAUCCAUGGGUAGCAAAUGCGGCUGGUUUAACAUGAAGGGACAGGGGGCUUAGACUGAGUAAAGACAUGCUUGUAUAGUUUAGAUGUGUGUGCUUGGUAGUAGUGUACAUACGGCAUAGAGAGCAGCAGCAGCGAGUAUCCUACUGGGUUUUCACUUAGAAAGAGGAUGAGUUUUCUCUCCUUUCAGUUUUUUUUCCCUGGGAAAAGAUGAGAGAGACAACAGUUGAAACCAGAGAAAAACGGUCAUGCUUUCCAUUGGUUGCAAAAAGGCUGUGGAAGAAGGAAGAAUUGAUGCAAGUCUGGAUUCCUCAGUGUCCAUUCAGAACCCAAAGUCUGUGUAAGAAAGAUCACAAAAAAUACGAAAAGGAGCGUAGAAAUGAUAGUUAUGCGCUCGUUAAGGUUCUGCUUAAGAGUCUGAUAAAGAUGCAAAUCAUGAGAAUGUUAUGAGAAAAUGAAGCGCACUGAUCAACUACGCAAAUUUAUUUUGAGCUCUUGCUGCUUUUUGCACUAUGAAAAGGAUAUCAUUAAUGUACUGCUAACAGAGUCCCAGGCAAAAAGCGUAGGAUAAAGUAGAAUCAAAGAUGCCUGUCUUCAUUGGAUUGGACUCUCGGUGGAACAGAGAGACUUAGCUUAUGAAGCUUGCUAAAGGCACCUUAAACCAUGCUGGUUUCAAUGAAGGAAAGGAUUAAUUAAUCAAGCUGGGAGCCUGCUUGCUGCCUAGUACGCAUCCAGGAGUGUUGUGGCUGUAAGCCUGCAAGGGUGCUUCUCCACUUCUUGGAACAUACAGAAAGUUCUUUGCCUUUUAACUACCGAGCUACGCUAUUCUUGUAAAGUAUAACAUCCUUCAUGCAAGGGUUGGUAGCCCAAAAAACAUUACUGCAAGAAAUUAAUAACAGAAACAAUUUACACA